rnacentral:rRNA from 1 species
AACGAACGCUGGCGGCAGGCUUAACACAUGCAAGUCGAACGGGCCCUUCGGGGUCAGUGGCAGACGGGUGAGUAACGCGUGGGAACGUGCCCUUCAGUUUGGGAUAACCCAGGGAAACUUGGGCUAAUACCGGAUACGUGCGAGAGCAGCAAGAUUUACCGCUGAAGGAACGGCCCGCGUCUGAUUAGCUGGUUGGUAGGGUAAUGGCCUACCAAGGCGACGAUCAGUAGCUGGUCUGAGAGGAUGAUCCGCAACAUUGGGACUGAGACACGGCCCAAACUCCUACGGGAGGCAGCAGUGGGGCAUAUUGGACAAUGGGCGCAAGCCUGAUCCAGCCAUGCCGCGUGAGUGAUGAAGGCCUUAGGGUUGUAAAGCUCUUUCAGUGGGGACGAUAAUGACGGUACCCGCAGAAGAAGCCCCGGCUAACUUCGUGCCAGCCGCCGCAGUAA